rnacentral:pre_miRNA from 1 species
AGUGGAAUUGCUAGACUAUGUGUUAACUCUUUAAUUUUUUGAGGAACUGCCAAACUAUUUUUCAAAGUGGUUGUACCAUUUUACAUUCCCACCAGCAAU